GGUCAGCUGCCCGGCGAGGUAACAGCUGACACCUGUGCGCGAAGUGCAGCCUGCAUUAGCAGCAUCAUUAUUCAGCAUUAGAGCAUUACAAAGAUAAUUACUGCGAGUUAGAAAAGCAGAGGACAGAGGGAAUUGAAACCCCAGACCCCUUGACUUAUCAAACUCCCAGGUUACGAGUGUAAUUUCAAUUUCCUGAAAUAUAUGAGUUUCCCUGGUUUCACAUGAUACUGUGUAUGGUUUAUACUUCAUGUACCACAGAAGGCUGAAAAUGGUCAUUUCCUGGCCCCUCCAGUGGUGGUUUUCCAGCCAGGAAAGCAUUCUGACUA
rnacentral:lncRNA from 1 species